rnacentral:rRNA from 1 species
GACAGAGGGUGCAAACGUUGUUCGGAAUUACUGGGCGUAAAGCGCGUGUAGGCGGCUAUGCAAGUCGGAUGUGAAAGCCCUCGGCUCAACCGGGGAAGUGCACCCGAAACUGCAAAGCUAGAGUCUCGGAGAGGAUCGUGGAAUUCUCGGUGUAGAGGUGAAAUGCGUAGAUAUCGGGAGGAACACCUGUGGCGAAAGCGGCUCACUGGACCACAACUGACGCUGAGGCGCGAAAGCUAGGGGAGCAAACGGG